UCCGGGCUAGAAGCGACG
rnacentral:snRNA from 1 species